CCCAGUACCGUCUGGCAACGUUUGAGGAGGGAGCCCUUAACCUGCGAAGCAAGGGCUUGAGGGGAUUUGGGACAAUAGGCGGAGUGGAUUAUUCGUUCCCGUAGGCAAUACUUCCCUGGAUGGGCUUCGGGAUGCAGUUGGAGGCUCGGGAACAAAGCGGGCAUCUCAUGUCAAGGCUCCUUCCAAGGAAGAAAUAAUUCUGCUGGGACCCUGUGCCUGGACUUUGGAAGACAUGAUGCAGUGGUUUCAUCUGAAAGCACCAUCCCUGUGGGUCGAAACUCUCCUCUGUACCGUGUGCUUGGCAAGAAGGGCAACGAGGGGACACUUGGAGUGACCAGGAGUUUGGCAUCAAGGAGCAGCAAGCCAGAGGGAAGUUUGGUGUCAAACCAGACACUUUGUGGCACUCCGUACUGGUGUCCAAUAGGUUCUGAACCACCCCCACGCUAAAAUAAAGAUCACCAUUCUGCUAUGCCAGUGAGCUUGUCUUGCUAAACCUCCCCUGUUUGCGUUGAAGGUAUGGAGCUGAUGUGACGCCGCCUUUUCACCCACUGAUGUGCGCAGUAGGAACAAUUCAGAAAAGUUCUGUUUAGCUUUUUUUUUUUUUUUUCCCCUUUGUAGAUGAAGAAACGCAAGCUAUCAGAAACAAGCCUAUGUUUGAAGGUACAGUUUUCAACAUGAAACUCAAAACGGAAGGGGGGAUGCUACUUGAAAGUGUGACUCAAAAAAAAGGUUUCGCUUUACAGCCAUCAGUAGCACCAGGAGACAGCUCCAUUAAAAAAAAAAGUAGUUUUCCACUGCUCUUGAAAAGCCGUUAUUUUUUACAUCGCGCCCGCCGCCACCACCGGUCCGGCCGCCCCCCCACCCCGGGUCGCCCCGCCGGGGAGAGAGCCGCGACCGGGCACCACCGCCGGCCGCCCCGUCGGCGCUUUCCCGGAGCGACCUAUCCACGCGUGGGGAAAGGCGAGACCCCCGUUUACCCGCGCCGGGCACGGCCCCAGUGGGAGGAAGGAGGAGGGGGGGGGGAACGGACGACAGGUCCCGAUGCUUCCCCGACGGCGCGACCCCGACGGCGCGGCCCCGUGGGCGCCCCCCGCGUCCCCGGCUGCUCCUUUGCCGUCGGGGAGGAUGGGACGGGACGGGCGACGAGCCUUCCCCCCGCUCGGCCUUCACCCCUUUCGCUUUUUUUGUCUCGCCAAAGCCUCUCAGCCAAAAAAAAAAAAAAAAAAAAAAAGCAAAAAAAAAAAAAGCUCCCUACUGCUGUGUCAUUGACACCGCGGGGUCGCUCGCUGCCUCCCUCUCCCCUUCUCUCCCGCCGCCCAUUGAAGGCUGCCCCCGCUCCUUUAUUCCAAACUGCAACUGAAAAUACCGCUGGGGAAACCACCUCCCCGCAGCUCGCUCCCUCCAGCCGCCUCGCCACAGGCCACCGAGCAUCCUCGCGCCAACCCAAAUUUUAGCCAAACCGGUCCCUGUCCCUCCAGCCCUCGCUCCACGCCUGUCUCCGAGGCCGCGACUUGUUGCGUCCCUUUUAGAGUUUGAUUAAUUACCCUGGAACUUAAGCAAACUAAAGUCCAUGUGGAGAAGAAGCUCCCGCCUACAGUUUGGUCCAGCAGCCCGCCACUGACACGGGCAAUCUUUACACUCUCGUGCAAAUGGCAACAAGCAUCCCUGCGCCUUCAAAAAAAGGUAUCCCUCUAAAAAUAUAUAGAAGUAUCGCUCUGGCUGUAGCUUGAAGGUGUCGAUCAUUUAUUACAAAAAUAAACGAAUAAAUACAACAAUAUAUUGUUGCUUU
rnacentral:lncRNA from 1 species